rnacentral:lncRNA from 1 species
CAGUGAAGCUAGGGGUAUAUAAUAUAUCAUAUCUCACUCCUUCAUCCUCUGUGUCCUAUGGCCAUAGACAUCUAUACUCGUGCUGUGCGAAUGUGUCGUAUAAUAACCACUAGGUAAAUCUUGGUGUGCCAAAAACAUAUCUCCAAAACUCGUAUCAAAAUUCGAAGCUUGCUAGGUCAAACCUUAUCUUAUAAAUCCAAGAUAAAUCGUACUCAUGAAAUCCAUAAAAUAAUUCAUGCUCGUAAAACCGUAAUAUAAAUCAUGUUCGAAAAUCAUAGAAAUCCAUAUAUGCAAAUCCAAUAAUUCAAUACCUUUAAUCAAACGUAAUUUCGAUAAAUCAACUAUUUCGUAAACCAUAAUUAUAAAAGUCUAUAAAGCAUAUUAUAAAUCAUAUUCAAAUCAUGAAAUAUGGAAUGCAUGCUAGGCUAAUAUUUUAUAAAAACAAGUAAGUUAAGAAGGGGUCCACUCACUGAUUUUAUUGCCCAAGAACCGCUUGAACUAGCAAGGAUGACGUCGCUUCCCGCCAACAAGCCUAAACACAAUUAGGGACCAAUUAGUAAAACUAUACUAAAACGUUAGAAUUUAAAAUGGACGGCGAAUUUGGAUCCGGCACGUUGAAAAACCUAAGGAGGGACCUCUGGUUUUCCCCACACAUCGCCGUACGAGCGGCCAUGAGGCGCCGGCCCGGAAGGCCACGCACCGCCGCAUGAGCCAUCACACAUGGCAGUUGGCCGCCUUGACUCGCCGAAAAAUUCAACAAUUCUAAAAAUUUCCAAAUUUUAUACCUGAGUCGAGGUCCAAUUCGACCAGGAAACACCUCAAAUCGCCCUCGAUCCCGCCGGAACCCUAGAAAUGGAUGCUUUCCAAUUUGUCCUGAAAUCAAACCCGACACCCCCAAACUUGUUUAGGCUUUGUGCCUGGGUUCAAGGUGAGUGGUUUGAUGGUGGUGGUGGCGAGGUUUGUGUAACCAGAAAACUAGUGGAAACACGUCAGAAAGGUCACGCUACGGG